GGAGUUGCCAGUUUGCUGACUGCCCUAUGGAAUUUGGACUCAUGCAUACCCACAGUUGUAUGAGAAACAAAGGCACAAAGACGUUGAGUUGCCCUGAGUCACACAGGGGCCAAUGGCAGGUCCCAGGAUUCACGAUGAGACAGUUUGACCCCAGAACUUGAGCUGCUCAUCAUGUAGCUGUAUCUUACUUUUUUAUGCAAAAUGUCCAGGGCCUCACCUUGCUGACUCUCUGCACUUGGCUUUUCCUGACACAUAAAUUGCCCCGAGUGUCCCCACAUCUACCAUCUGGCCCCUGGCUUGGGCUGUAUCCCGGAAAGCAUCUACUACAGGAUUAUCUGUCCUCCCCCAUUCCCCUCAGUCCUGGCAGCCCUGGAGGAUCUCAACCCAGAGUCUAUGCUACACAGAAACUGCAGGGGUUUAGGAAUGAUACUGAAGCUGUUUUUCUGCUGGACGAUGCUCUCCAUCAUCCUACAUACGCUGGGCCUGGGACUGGUAUGAAUCAGCUGUGAAGAAACAGGACGUGCAGAAGCCUCCCAACCAGGUAUUCCUCCCAGCCUGCCCCAGAAAGCUCCUCCCACCCGGUCCCAGGAGGCCCCGCCCAGCCGGUCCCAGGAGGCCCCGCCCAGCC